GACGAACGCUGGCGGCGUGCCUAAUACAUGCAAGUCGAACGCAGUGGGGACGGGUGAGUAACACGUGGGUAACCUCCCAUCAGAGGGGAUAACACUUGGAAACAGGUGCAAAACCGAUACUGAUGUAUGGACCCGGGGUGCAUUAGCUAGUUGGUGGGGUAACGGCUCACCAAGGCCACGAUGCAGAGCCGGCCUGAGAGGGUGAUCUGCCACACUGGGACUGAGACACGGCCCAGACUCCUACGGGAGGCAGCAGUAGGGAAUCUUCGGCAAUGGACGAAAGUCUGAUCGAGCAACGCCGCGUGAGUGAAGAAGGUUUUCGGAUCGUAAAGCUCUGUUGGUAGAGAAGCGUUAUCUACAGAGAAAGCCACGGCUAACUACGUGCCAGCCGCCGCGGUAAUAC
rnacentral:rRNA from 1 species